rnacentral:rRNA from 1 species
UGGCUGGCCGGUCCGCCUCACACGCGAGUACUGGUCCGGCUGGACCUUUCCUUCUGGGGAACCUCAUGGCCUUCACUGGCUGUGGGGGGAACCAGGACUUUUACUGUGAAAAAAUUAGAGUGUUCAAAGCAGGCCUUUGCUCGAAUACAUUAGCAUGGAAUAAUAGAAUAGGACGUGCGGUUCUAUUUUGUUGGUUUCUAGGACCGCCGUAAUGAUUAAUAGGGAUAGUCGGGGGCGUCAGUAUUCAGCUGUCAGAGGUGAAAUUCUUGGAUUUGCUGAAGACUAACUACUGCGAAAGCAUUCGCCAAGGAUGUUUUCAUUAAUCAGGGAACGAAAGUUAGGGGAUCGAA